CAUGAAAGAGUCUAGGCUGAGUUAAAGAAGGGGAUAUGCCGAUAAGUCGGAUGGUCAAGAGGAUGAGCCACGUCUGCCAGGUCGUGCAGCCAUGUUCCAAGAGAGUUGAAGCCGUAGACUAUAAACAUGGGGCUUGAUCAUGCUUAGGUCUUGCCAUGGAUGCAAUUAAGGCAUCAAGUUGAGUGUCCACCAAGAAGGUUGGACUUGAGCUUUGUCGAGGGCAUGUGAAGGGGUCCGUCUAAAGAAAGUCGGUCUCAAGGUUGGAACGACAACCUAGCCACCUAAUGGGAUGCGAAGAGUGGCAGGAGAGGCCCUAAACCUAGCCACCUAAUGGGUUGCGAAGAGGGGCAGGAGAGUCCCUAAACCUAGCCAUCCAAUGGGUUGCGAGGAGUGGCAGGAGAGUCCCUACAGAAGAGAGCCAUGCAGGAUGAGUGGGCAGUGAAGCCGACGGCAUGGGCAAGCAGAGCUUGCAGUUGGAGAGAGUGCUAUGCAGGGCAAAA
rnacentral:lncRNA from 1 species